ACGUAGGGUGCAAGCGUUAAUCGGAAUUACUGGGCGUAAAGCGUGCGCAGGCGGUUAUGUAAGACAGAGGUGAAAUCCCCGGGCUCAACCUGGGAACUGCCUUUGUGACUGCAUAGCUAGAGUACGGUAGAGGGGGAUGGAAUUCCGCGUGUAGCAGUGAAAUGCGUAGAUAUGCGGAGGAACACCGAUGGCGAAGGCAAUCCCCUGGACCUGUACUGACGCUCAUGCACGAAAGCGUGGGGAGCAAACAGGAUUAGAUACCCUGGUAGUCCACGCCCUAAACGAUGUCAACUAGCUGUUGGGGCCUUCGGGCCUUAGUAGCGCAGCUAACGCGUGAAGUUGACCGCCUGGGGAGUACGGUCGCAAGAUUA
rnacentral:rRNA from 1 species